GACGAACGCUGGCGGCGUGCUUAACACAUGCAAGUCGAACGGGCCCGCCCCUGUUUUUGGGGGUGGGUUGAGUGGCGAACGGGUGAGUAUCACGUGAGUAACCUGCCCCCUGCUCCUGGAUAACUGCUUGAAAGGGCGGCUAAUACGGGGUGUGCCGGCUGGUCCGCAUGGGCCUGGUCGGGAUAGUUUCAUCUUCGGGUGUUUCGGUGGGGGAUGGGCUCGCGGCCUAUCAGCUUGUUGGUGGGGUGAUGGCCCACCAAGGCGGUGACGGGUAGCCGGCCUGAGAGGGUGAGCGGCCACACUGGGACUGAGACACGGCCCAGACUCCUGCGGGAGGCAGCAGUGGGGGGUAUUGCACAAUGGGCGGAAGCCUGAUGCAGCGACGGCGCGUGAGGGAUGGAGGCCUUCGGGUUGUGAACCUCUUUCUCCGGUGGUGAAGGCCCUGUCCGUUGCGGCGGGGUUGACGGUAGCCGGGUAUGAAGCGCCGGCUAACUACGUG
rnacentral:rRNA from 1 species